rnacentral:rRNA from 1 species
GGAUUGAAAUGGGCGCAGCCUGAUCCAGCCAUGCCGCGUGCAGGAUGAAGGCCUUCGGGUUGUAAACUGCUUUUGUACGGAACGAAAAGGUUUUCUCUAAUAAAGAGGGCUCAUGACGGUACCGUAAGAAUAAGCACCGGCUAACUACGUGCCAGCAGCCGCGGUAAUACGUAGGGUGCAAGCGUUAAUCGGAAUUACUGGGCGUAAAGCGUGCGCAGGCGGUAAUGUAAGACAGUUGUGAAAUCCCCGGGCUCAACCUGGGAACUGCAUCUGUGACUGCAUUGCUGGAGUGCGGCAGAGGGGGAUGGAAUUCCGCGUGUAGCAGUGAAAUGCGUAGAUAUGCGGAGGAACACCGAUGGCGAAGGCAAUCCCCUGGGCCUGCACUGACGCUCAUGCACGAAAGCGUGGGGAGCAAACAGGAUUAGAUACCCUGGUAGUCCACGCCCUAAACGAUGUCAACUGGUUGUUGGGAAUUCACUUUCUCAGUAACGAAGCUAACGCGUGAAGUUGACCGCCUGGGGAGUACGGCCGCAAGGUUGAAACUCAAAAAAAUUGACGGA